UUAGUGGCGAACGGGUGAGUAAUACGUGAGUGACCUACCUUUGACUCUGGGAUAAGCCUGGGAAACUGGGUCUAAUACCGGAUACGACCAAUCUCCGCAUGGGGUGUUGGUGGAAAGCGUUAUGGAGUGGUUUUAGAUGGGCUCACGGCCUAUCAGCUUGUUGGUGAGGUAAUGGCUUACCAAGGCGAGAAGGGUUAGCCGGCCUUGAGAGGGUGACCGGCCACACUGGGACUGAGACACGGCCCAGACUCCUACGGGAGGCAGCAGUGGGGAAUAUUGCACAAUGGGCGCAAGCCUGAUGAAGCGACGCCGCGUGAGGGAUGACGGCCUUCGGGUUGUAAACCUCUGUUAGCAUCGAAGAAGCGAAAGGACGGUAGGUGCAGAGAAAGCGCCGGCAAAAUACGUGCCAGCAGCCGCGGUAAUACGUAGGGCGCAAGCGUUGUCCGGAAUUAUUGGGCGUAAAGAGCUGGUAGGCGGUUGGUCGCGUCUGCUGUGAAAGGCUGGGGCUUAACCCUGGUUUUGCAGUGGGUACGGGCUAACUAGAGUGCAGUAGGGGAGACUGGAAUUCCUGGUGUAGCGGUGGAAUGCGCAGAUAUCAGGAGGAACACCGAUGGCGAAGGCAGGUCUCUGGGCUGUAACUGACGCUAAGAAGCGAAAGCAUGGGGAGCGAACAGGAUUAGAUACCCUGGUAGUCCAUGCCGUAAACGUUGGGCACUAGGUGUGGGGGACAUUCCACGUUUUCCGCGCCGUAGCUAACGCAUUAAGUGCCCCGCCUGGGGGAGUACGGCCGCAAGGCUAAAACUCAAAGAAAUUGACGGGGGCCCGCACAAGCGGCGGAGCAUGCGGAUUAAUUCGAUGCAACGCGAAGAACCUUACCAAGGCUUGACAUAUACUGGACUGCGUCAGAGAUGGCGUUUCCCUUCGGGGCUGGUAUACAGGUGGUGCAUGGUGGUCGUCAGCUCGUGUCGUGAGAAUGUUGGGUUAAGUCCCGCAACGAGCGCAACCCUCCUUCUAUGUUGCCAGCACGUGGAUGGUGGGGGACUCAUAAGGAGACUGCCGGGGUCAACUCGGAGGAAAGGUGGGGGUGACGUCAAAUCAUCAU
rnacentral:rRNA from 2 species